AGCUGUUUAAUCGUGCUGUUAAGCGGCUUUAUAAACAGCUGAUUGUUUUUGAGAUUAACAUCACCUGUGGCCCUGACCUGUUCACCAUCAAGCGGGAUAUUAAGAUGCAAGUGACCACUUACAUCUCCACCAACCUGGAGUUCAUCCAGCGCUGCACCCAGCGUAUCCUUCAGCGGUGUCUGGUUGAAAUAGCUGCCGACGUCCGUCCCUGCACCACUGAUAUCGCCAUCAAUGAUCAGCUUUUCUUUCAGGUAGUCCGGAAUCACUGCUGAAAUAUUUUUGCCCUGCACAUUCCCCAGCAUGGUCCGAUCGGCUUUCAUAAACAGCCCGUCAUUAACAAAGUCCAGGUUAAUAUCCUGGUUCUCAAGAUCGGGCCAGCCAGGCUGGAACUGAUAGGUUGCCUGUUUCAGAGGCACA
rnacentral:ncRNA from 1 species